UCUCCGUUGGUGAACCAGCGGAGGGAUCAUUGCCGAGCAACACGCUCCAAACCAUCGCGAACAUACCACGUCGUGCCUCGGCGGGCGGCUCCAGGGCGGAGCCGCUUGCCCCCCACGGGGGGUGCCCGCCGGCGGACCACCAAACUUUGUCGUCUAGUGUAUUCUGAGGACCCGCGUCAGCGGAUCGAAACAAUCAAAACUUUCAACAAUGGAUCUCUUGGCUCUGGCAUCGAUGAAGAACGCAGC
rnacentral:misc_RNA from 1 species